rnacentral:rRNA from 1 species
CCUACGGGAGGCAGCAGGGGGGAAUUUUGGACAAUGGGGGCAACCCUGAUCCAGCCAUUCCGCGUGAGUGAAGAAGGCCUUCGGGUUGUAAAGCUCUUUCGCAAGGGAAGAAAACUUAUGAUCGAAUAAAUCAUGAGGUUGACGGUACCUUGAUAAGAAGCACCGGCUAGCUACGUGCCAGCAGCCGCGGUAAUACGUAGGGUGCGAGCGUUAAUCGGAAUUACUGGGCGUAAAGCGUGCGCAGGCGGUUUUGUAAGUCGGAUGUGAAAUCCCCGGGCUCAACCUGGGAACUGCGUUCGAAACUGCAAGGCUAGAGUGUGUCAGAGGGGGGUAGAAUUCCACGUGUAGCAGUGAAAUGCGUAGAGAUGUGGAGGAAUACCAAUGGCGAAGGCAGCCCCCUGGGAUAACACUGACGCUCAUGCACGAAAGCGUGGGGAGCAAACAGGAUUAGAUACCCUGGUAGUCCACGCCCUAAACGAUGUCAACUAGUUGUUGGUAGAGUAAAAUCUAUGAGUAACGUAGCUAACGCGUGAAGUUGACCGCCUGGGGAGUACGGUCGCAAGAUUAAAACUUAAAGGAAUUGACGG